rnacentral:misc_RNA from 1 species
UCCGGUUUGUCACCGGCAGUCUCCCUAGAGUGCCCUUGCGUAGCAACACAGGACAAGGGUUGCGCUCGUUGCGGGACUUAACCCAACAUCUCACGACACGAGCUGACGACAGCCAUGCAGCACCUCGACUCCACUCCCUUGCGGGAUAAGGGUGUUUCCACCCCCGUUAAGAAGCCGUUCGAGCCCAGGUAAGGUUCUUCGCGUUGCGUCGAAUUGAACCACAUGCUCCACCGCUUGUGCGGGCCCCCGUCAAUUCCUUUGAGUUUCAGCCUUGCGACUGUACUCCCCAGGCGGCAUAUUUAACGCGUUAGCUCCGGCACAGAUCAACUGAAUGACCUACACCAAAUAUGCAUCGUUUAGGGCGUGGACUAC